GACGAACGCUGGCGGCGUGCUUAACACAUGCAAGUCGAACGGAAAGGCCCUGCUUUUGUGGGGUGCUCGAGUGGCGAACGGGUGAGUAACACGUGAGUAACCUGCCCUUGACUUUGGGAUAACUUCAGGAAACUGGGGCUAAUACCGGAUAGGAGCUCCUGCUGCAUGGUGGGGGUUGGAAAGUUUCGGCGGUUGGGGAUGGACUCGCGGCUUAUCAGCUUGUUGGUGGGGUAGUGGCUUACCAAGGCUUUGACGGGUAGCCGGCCUGAGAGGGUGACCGGCCACAUUGGGACUGAGAUACGGACCAGACUCCUACGGGAGGCAGCAGUGGGGAAUAUUGCACAAUGGGCGGAAGCCGGAUGCAGAAACGCCGCGUGCGGGAUGACGGCCUUCGGGUUGUAAACCGCUUUCGCCUGUGACGAAGCGUGAGUGACGGUAAUGGGUAAAGAAGCACCGGCUAACUACGUG
rnacentral:rRNA from 1 species